rnacentral:rRNA from 1 species
CUCAAAUUUGAAAUCUGGCGUGCUCAGUGCGUCCGAGUUGUAAUCUAUAGAGGCGUUUUCCGUGCCGGACUGUGUCUAAGUCCCUUGGAACAGGGUAUCAAAGAGGGUGAUAAUCCCGUACUUGACACAAUGACCGGUGCUCUGUGAUACGUCUUCUACGAGUCGAGUUGUUUGGGAAUGCAGCUCAAAAUGGGUGGUGAGUUCCAUCUAAAGCUAAAUAUUGGCGAGAGACCGAUAGCGAACAAGUACCGUGAGGGAAAGAUGAAAAGCACUUUGGAAAGAGAGUUAAACAGUACGUGAAAUUGUUGAAAGGGAAACGAUUGAAGUCAGUCGUGACUGAGAGGCUCAGCCGGUUCUGCCGGUGUAUUCCCCUCAGUCGGGUCAACAUCAGUUUUGUUCGGUGGAUAAGGGCAGCUGGAAGGUGGCACCUCCGGGUGUGUUAUAGCCAGCUGUCGCAUACAUCGAAUGAGACUGAGGAAUGCAGCUCGCCUUUAUGGCCGGGGUUCGCCCACGUCCGAGCUUAGGAUGUUGACAUAAUGGCUUUAAACGACCCGUC